UACGUAGGGGGCAAGCGUUGUCCGGAAUCAUUGGGCGUAAAGAGCGUGUAGGCGGCCCGGUAAGCCCGCUGUGAAAGUCCAGGGCUCAACCCUGGGAUGCCGGUGGAUACUGUCGGGCUCGAGUCCGGAAGAGGAGUGUGGAAUUCCUGGUGUAGCGGUGAAAUGCGCAGAUAUCAGGAGGAACACCAAUGGCGAAGGCAGCACUCUGGGACGUGACUGACGCUGAGACGCGAAAGCGUGGGGAGCAAACAGG
rnacentral:rRNA from 1 species